AUUUUUAACAAACAAUUUUGUCAGUACUACAACAAUCUAUUUCCCAUCAAUGCAAAUAUAUGUGAUAUAUAUUGUCAUCAUGUUGAACAAAUUGAACAGCAAGCCAAUAGAUAAAUACAAUUUAUUUAUAAAUGAACAAAAAUCUGUGCAAUACUCGACGAUUGAUCAGACUAAGUAAGAUUUUUGUGAAAACAGUGGCAGAGUCAAUGUGGGCCAAUUCUAUUUAUAUUCAAUAAUUUGCAAUUCAAAGAAACCCCUUAGGUGGCAGCAAUAAAAUCCAGCACAGAUAUUUAUGACAAACAAUCAACACCCGCAAACAACAAACACACAUGGCUUGUAUCGGAAACAAAAAAGGCUUUAUGAAGCUAUAGAUAGACGCGUAUCUAUCUAUCUGUGCACACUAGCACUGUCAAUGAGAAAUGCAUUGAUAUGUAAUUCAAUAGCAAAACUAAUAAACUGCUAUUGCAAUUGCAAUGGCAAUGGCAAUUGCUAGUGCGAAUGCGACUGCGAGAGUGCGACUUUUGUUGAGCCAACCGACCACCCCAGGUGGGUUGCGAUGCCAAACGAUUCCUGCGCUGUUUGCCUUCGAUACAAUCUUAGCCAGGAGUCAAGGGAAGCCGGCGAAACAUCAAAAGACACGACAACCAGAAACUGCAGUCGUGAGGAAAACGCAAAAUCAGGGUGAGGAAAAGCGCAACAAACAAGAGAUAGAAAGGGAGAUAAGCGCCGAACCGCAAAACACCGCCUUAAACGCGACCUAACGAAGCAAUAAUCAAUUAUCAAUAAAUUUUACUGACGCCACGCCCACCCACGGAAUGGAAGAGAGAAGGAAACCUCCAGGCGCUGAUUAAGGAUGUUUUUGGCUUUUAUCUCAGAGUCGAAGACAUCUCGAUGGUCUUUAUGAGCUGUCGAGUGGGGAAUAUUCGCCAAAUAUUUGCUUCUUCAACCAGCUCGAUUGGCUUCUGGUUUUGGUCUGGGCUUUUGCUUCUGGCUUGGUCUUUCCCCCUUCUGGUUUCGUCCUGAAAUUGUCCUCGCAGUCACGCCCUUUCCGUGCUUUAAUGACAUUUUAAGCACACAAACACGCACGCAUGCAAAGAAAAAAUGGCAGCAGUUGGGGCAAGAAAUACAACGUAGCAUCCUGGUAAACAAUGUUUAUACGUGGCAUAAAUGGCAUUUAAAAACUCACUUUAAGC